rnacentral:rRNA from 1 species
AACGUAGGUACCGAGCGUUAUCCGGAUUUACUGGGCGUAAAGCGCGUUCAGGCGGUUUGGCAAGUCGGGCAUGAAAUCUCUGGGCUCAACCGGGAGAGGUUGUCCGAUACUGCUGGACUUGAGGGCAGUAGAGGGUGGUGGAAUUCCGGGUGUAGUGGUGAAAUGCGUAGAUAUCCGGAGGAACACCAGUGGCGAAAGCGGCCACCUGGACUGUACCUGACGCUAACACGCGAAAGCUAGGGGAGCGAACGGG